ensembl:lncRNA
CUUGGAGCAAGAUGGCCCCUGUCCUGGACCCAUGCUUCUAGGGACCUGCUCUUGUUUUCCUACACUCUCCCCAUGGGAUGAAGAAUUCACAAGCCAAGAGGGUGCAUACACCAAGAGCCUGCCCCUCUUCAAGACCGUGUUCCAGGAAAUCAGGCAGAAGUCUCUUCCCUGAAGACCACAGGGCUCUUUUCAGAGCCUCUUGUCUGGUCCAGUCUCUCGUGUUGUUGGUGUUCCUCUUAGGUCUGAGUGGUAGUCAUGCAGGACUGUUUACAAGGGGUGUGGAUGGAGCCAGGACUCACUGGCAGCUUAUUUGUGUAUAUGAAUGAAUCCCCUGGUGGUGUUGGGACUGAGCCAGGAUAGGAGGAGAAAGGGAGGGGGGUUGUGAACCAAAGGCCAGGAUGGGUACCGAUUCUCCUUGCAUGAUUGCCUCCUGGAACUCUGAGGAGUCAAGAAUACUUAAUUUUACCAGCCCUGAACUUUCAGUUCGCUAUGAAGACCUAUCUGCUGAGCCUCCUGAGAAGCAAGGCCCAGAGGAACAAACACUGUGCGUGGGAAACCAGAGAGGGGCUCUGGAGGAGGGGACGGAAGAGGCCAGAGACGGGGUGGCUUUUCUGAAGAGUACUAGUAAAAGGAGAAAGGAAUUGAGGACUUUUGACCACACAACGUGUAAGAAAGAAAGUGUUACAGCGUUUGUGUUUUCCCGACUGGCUUUUGGGACCAUGGUCCCUUUUAGAGCGACACUACUGUCUUGCCCUGUGACAUCCUCCCAAAGAGCCUGA